UUUUUGCUCCACAUAUGCAUGCUUUCUACGAUUCGGAGAUCAGUGCAGCCCAAAGAUCACAUUGGAUUCUCCUCACUACACUCCAUCUUCUAACCUAGUCUGCAUCACGGCUAGGUGCAUCCGUUGCCAAGUUCAUCCAAUAUAUGCCAACCGCAUUGCAAGGACGACCAUAUGCACACACACACCACAGUCCACAGGAGACAGAUAGCUAGCUAGCUUACUCUUUAGUCAUACAUACACUUAUAAAUAGCCACCGGCUCUGUGCUCAUCAGCAAGGCAGAUUAAACAAGUGAAGUGGUCCACAUCAAAAAUGAAGUAAUCAGGUCUAGGGAGUCAAAAUUUGGUUGGUUGUCCACUCCUCAAUCCACUUCAGUAGAUAGCUAUGGCUAGGCCUCAUUGCAUUGCACUGUUACAUAACUGUGAUCAUGGGGCCAAAAGCUAGCUAUGUAUAGUGAAGUGCUUGGGGGAACUCCAGUUGACACUCAGCAUUUUCAAGUUAGGUAUGUAAGUGCUUGUACUUUAUGAAUUUGUAAGUGACAGAGAAUGAUUAGGUUUGGAGUCCCUAGGAGUUCCUUUCAAGCACUUUACGACACACUGUAUUGAGAGUUGUCGUGAAGUGUUUGGGGGAACUCUUAGUG
rnacentral:precursor_RNA from 1 species